AAAAACACAUACCCAAGUCCAAUGAUGCAAGCUCAUCUUGUUGGAAUGAGUUGCCUCUUGUUUUCCCUUUCUUGCCUAGGUUUGAGUUCAUCUUCUCAACAGCAGUAAGCAAAUCCUGCAAAAGUAAUGCUUGAACAAAUUAACGAUAACAAAAAAAGCUUAAACAAAUGAAAAUAGGAUAGCUGAUUUCUUAGUUAACUGAACCCAAAGCUGGAUCUUUCAACUGAAAUUAUCAACUAAAGGGUAAGCACAUAAUUGAGCUUACAAAUUUAUAUCCCCUGAGAACUUGUAGAUGCCUCAAUUUAUCAUAUAUGAUUGCCCCAGUCUUGAAUUUAUCCCAACACUAGGCUUGCAUUCACGUAAUUAUUAUUCAAUUAUUGAUUGGAUGGGUGCUCAUAUUAGUCAUAGGUUCCAUGGCAAGAUCUCCAACCAAUCCUAAAAUGGUUUGUGGGUUUUGGCUUGAUUGACUCAAAUCAGGAGUCAAUAAUGGAAAUCCGACACUCCUAAAUCCUUCAUUAGGCUGCUCAUGCAUAUGCCACAUGUCAUUUGCAACACACGUCCAUUGCUUCCUAAACCCUAGCUAUGUGUCACUAUUCAACCAGCUCCUUUCUCAUUGGCCAACCUAGAGGGACAACUCUCUCCAUUUCUCUCAUCACCCCUAGACUAUGGAUUCCCUCUUGCUACCAAAGCUCCUUCACUUGCCAUAAGCGUCAUUCUCGUUACUUGUUUGUAACAUCAUCUCUCCUCUCAAUAUAUGUUAAAAAAUAAAUAGAGAAAAUGUUGCAAAACAGAAAAUGUUUCAAGACACGUUACAAUGUCGUUUUCCUUAAAACGUUAUUUGCCCCCACCAAAUCGGUGUGAAUUGAGUCAACAAAUACGUUUCCAGGAUACAAUGAAGCUUGAAAUAUAAUCUGAUCAGUUUGCGUUAUACACAAACGAAAAACUAAUUACAAACACCCUUAAAAGAAUCUGAACAAAUUUCUAAAAUUCUAUUUCUACAGAAUACAGAACCCAAAAUUAAAGAAGAUAUAAUUUGUGAAAGCCUUAUGAGAGAAAGAGGAGAGAAUGAUUAAAUAUUUUUGUAAGAUUUUUGGAGUUAAUUCUGUCUUUAAAUAGACAAAAUUAUGCAUAUUCCCAAUAGCUACAAAGGUGGUUAUUUGAAUAAACAGUUACAUCUAUUCAAAUUUAAACAAUCAGUUAAAUAAUUGUUUAAUUAACUGCCACUUGCCAGAUUAAAAUCUGACCAUUAGAUUAUUUAUAUGGUUCAGAUUGCACCACUUGAUCUUAUAAGAAAUAUAAGAUUAAUUUUAAGUCAUCCGAUCAUGAUCAAUGAUCACGAUUUCGCAACGAUGCAAGCAUGCAAAGUUUUAAGUGCUUGUGCGCCAACUAAAUGAGCCACUAGUGCCCUACAGCCCACGUCACGGGCGCGCACAUAUUUGUGCGGACGAUGCGAACUAGAGUAUACACUAGACAUAGUGAACCAACCACUCGCCAAACUGUCCAAAUAAAAAUACAGUUUGAUUCCUCGAGCGAUCAAACCCAGGACUUUUAGGUUGACGGCUUGGCAUUCUCAUCCUAAAGCUCACCCCUCCUACUUUGAUACCCUGUGAGGAGUGUGUAUAAUGCCAUAUUCUUUUUUGCUCAUCGAAACAUGCAAGCAGUAAUAUUGACAUAAUGGUGAUGAUGGCCUCCAAAAACAUCGAAAAUGUGAUAAUGAAUGCUGAUUAAAAAUUUUAUUUUCCUCAAUUAAAAGAAACAAAAAAGACAAAUAUAUUUCUCUCCUAUAAAGAUUUUUAAGAGCUUAGGAGCACCCACAACCAUAAUUACUUUGAUCCAACUCAUUUCCAAACCUAAAAGAAGCAGUGGAAGUGACUUGAAGACAAACCCUGGGAAUCAGUUAGCAGAAGGUGGAUUUUAAAUAUUCCAAAAAAUUCACCAAGUUGCCCUCUCUUUAUAAGUAAAAAAAAAAAAAAGGAUAAACUGUAUUAAAUAAGGCACCAAGGGUAUUCUGUUCCAAGUACAAAAUUCAUUUACGUGACAAAUAAUCAAAAAAUAUAGUAUAUAUAUUCUCAUGAAUUCUUCCAGGUCUUCUAUUAUGGUUUUAAAUAGCAGCAAUGACUAUAAUGCCCAUUGCGCAGCAGAUUUUUGAGGUCUCAGUAUCAUUAUACACUGCUAAACAAUGGGAAUGAAAAUCACAGAUAAAGGUUGUUAUGGACCGCCACCGCAACAUAAUGGCCAUUGCGAGACCUAUAUGGCCGCUACAAGACUGUAAUAUUUUUUUUAUUAUUGUAUAAUUUUGUUCUCAUUUUCUCUUCUUUUUUUUUUAAUUUCUGUACAAUUAUGAACUCCCUACUUUAGCUCAUGCCACAACAGCAGCAGAUCCCAUUGUUGAAUAAGCUAAAUCCCAAAAAUAUAUCUAUAGCAAAUGGUAAACUUUUUCAAACGAACUUAUACACAAGUAACGUCUAUUAACCGUGUUGGAAAUUCACUUGUGAGUUGUUUCACAUCAGAAAAUUAAGUGGAGGAUGGGUGUUUAUAUGCAUUGUUAGGCCUAGGAGCUAAGAUUCAAUAGGUUUAAGUUUUUGGGUCAACUUGGUGCUAAUCCAUGUAUAUAAAGCUCGAAAAAGAACUCCUCGAAACUAAUAAAUGGUAUUAAACCAAGUGUAUGACCGAGGCCAAUAAGCAUCAUCUAGGUCUGGUAAAUGGAUUUGAAUAGGGUCAAGAUGUGGGAGGUAGGAUUGGUUUGAAGGCACGUGGAAUGCAAUCUAAGGCAUGUAAGGUGCGAGAGUAAGGUUACUUAAGCAAUUGUUGAAGAAUGGGUUUGCUCUCACAAAGGAAACAGUUUUCGCUCAAAGGGGAGAGUUUGAAUUGGGUUGAGUGUUCUUAUAGAUGUAAACACAUGGAAGAGGAUCGGUGAUGAGUGAACUCCCAUGGAUCAAUCAUGAGCAAACUCCCCUAGUUUCGUGCCCUUUCCCAUGGUUGAGUAAUGUAUUCCAUUUAAGGGGGAGUGGCUAGAAAUCACAAGCGAGGGGGAGAUUAUUGAAAAUUCCACUAAUAAGUUUGUUCAACAUUAGAAAAAUAGAGUGAAGGAUGGGUGUUUAUACAUGGUUGAGCCCAAGAUAGAGGCUUAAGCUUUUGGGGCAAGUUGGUGCUCACGUAUGUAUAUCAAGCCCAUCCACGAAGACUCACCCAAUCCUAACAAACCAAUCAUCCAUUAAACCAACCCCUCCCUUUCUCUUGAGAUUGUUACGGUCAAAAUCUGCCACAAAUUGCCUCCCAAGGAACCCAAAAAAAAACAAAAAAAACAAAAGGUUAGAGCACAAACCCUCCAUGUUUCCAUCAUUGAAAGUUCGCUAUCCAUACAUAACAUCAUAUUUCUUAAUGGCAUUGUUGAUGCAAGAACGAGUCCUUAAAUAAACAAUCAGCACAACCAUUUGGUACCACGCAAUCACAAAAUAGAAAAAUUCUUAGGAGGCUUGAAAUAGUCUCUAGUGGACCUCUCUAUUGCUUUAAUUACCUCUCAUUCACAUAGAAUGCAAUGAUUCCUUUGGAGUUUGAAAAGAGAGUCCCUUACCUUAGAGCCAAGGAGGCCUUUAAAUAGAUGAAGAUCAUGCAAUGGGUAGCUCCUUCAAAUGAGAAAGCAUAUGGGAGUUAAAAUAUUACCCAUAUAUCAUGGAAGUGUUGUCCACUUUCCUAAUCUCCAUUUAGAUUUAGUUAUGGAAGUCAUGGGCUGAUGUGGUGACACUAUUUUACUUGGAGGUUAUUUUCCCUAUAUUCUUUCUACCUUCAAGGCCAAGGUGACUUUUUGCCUUGGGCAUAGCUUUUUUUUUCUUUGAGCUUUAUGCCAUUUUCCUAUUACAGGUUCAUAGCCUACAAGAAAUCUUGCCCAAGCUUUUAUGCAAUUGCAACUUUUUCUAGGCUCUAUGCCAUUUUCCUUUAAUUCAGGCUUGUAGGUUUUGGGAAUUUUUGCCUAAUUUUUUACACAAUUAAGGCUUUUUCCAAGCUCUAGGCCCUAUCCCAUUUCGAGCUCAUAACCCUUGGGAAUUUUUGCCAAAGGUUUUAUGCAAAUGGGACAUUUCUAGGGCUCUAUGCCCUUAUUCCAUUUCAAGCUUGCAAUCAUAGGGGAUUUUUGCCAACUUUUAUACAACUAGGGCCUCUUUUUUUGGCUUUAUGCGACUAUGCCCUUUUCUCAUUCUGAGCUCGUAGCCUUCAAGAAUUUUGCCAAACUUUUAUGCAAUUGGGCUUUCUCAAGGCCCCAAGCUUUUAGGCUUCCCUUCUUUCCAUUUCAUGCUUAGAGCCCUUAAGAAUUUUUGCCAAAGCUUUUAUGCUAUUUGGGCUUUCUCCGAGCUCUAUGCCAUUUUCCCAUUGGGCUUUAAUUUUUGGCCGAGCUUUUAUUUGAUUUGAAGUUUAUUUGGACUUUGCCAUUUUCUCAUUUGAGCUCAUACGAAUUAUUUUAACAAGAUUUUAUGCAUUUGGAGCCAGCAACAAUAUGGAUGCCAUUAUAUUUUUGGGAAAUUGGUUCUCACAAAUGGUGCCAAUCUAUUAAAGCAAACACUAGUCCAACUUGAACUCUAAUCCUUAUUUCGAUCACCAACCAUCUACUACCCCUGCAAUCAUAAAAAGGCAAUUCUUGGGAGGCCCAAAGUAGCCUCCAAAAGGCCACUGCAAUGCUCACAUUCACUCUUAUUUCACAUAAAAUAUAAUGUGUUGACCCUAUGGGUCAUUCCCAAUUUUGAUAAUAACAAAUACUCUGGCAUUUAAUAGUUGUCAAGUUUGUGUGCAAGUUCUUAAUGGCAAGUUCAUAUAAUAGCAUGCGACAACCUAAAGAAAAGUGAAGACCCGAAAUGUUUUUAAUUAUUGUAAUCUAUAUUUCAUUUCGUUGGGUCUGCAAAUAAUUUGCAUAUCAUGUAUGUAGGACUAUAAACUCAAGACCUUAGAGACACCUUAGGGAUUCGGUCGACCGACGCCAGGUUUUUGGCGUCUUUAAAAAGGCCUUAGAAAGACUCUAGGUCCCAGCACUUGCACAUAAGAAAGUCCCCAAUAUCACUUAAAAUAUCAGGGGAAUUAACUGAGGCAAAUUGGGCUUAAAAUAACAAUCACUGUGAGAGGUCGGACGACCGAACCCUUGGUGUUCAAAACACCUCGGGCGACCGAACCUGUGUCAGGGUACGUUUCACCAACCCGUGCGACCGAACUUGUGAGUUCAAUUAACUGAAUGUUGGACCGAGCACCCAAACCGCAGACAGUAGGAAAAUCGCCUUAGUUCAGCCACUCGAAUAUAAAUUCGGGCACCCGAACAUGGAAAACUCGCUUUUUCCAUUGUGUUUGUUCGGGGGACUGAACCUUGGGCUCGGCCAACCGAAACUCUCGGGUUGCACAAUUUUUAUCGCGGGUAAUUGCAGUUAAUUAAGGGUAAAUUGGUUUUAAAAUUCAUUAAACAAAUUUAAUGAUACCCUUUGUGUCCUAACGGUUAAAUUUUUGAGUAAGGCUAUAUAUAUGUGAUCAUUUGCAAAAAUUAAAAUAAGACUAGGGAUUUAGAUUAGGGAAAUUUCCUCUGAAAUUUUGAGAGUUCUAUCUUCUCAUACUAAGCCAAAUACUCUUCCUUUGCUCAUUCAUUUGAAAAAUCUUAUAGUGUGAGAUUAUUCUUGAGUGAUUCUACAAUAUUCCUACUUACUAAAAACUCUCUUUGAUUUAUUGCUUGAUUGAUUUUUAUUGAGAGUUUUAGCUUAUAGUUUUUCCCCCCAGUUUAUUUAAUAACCUCAUUGUGUGGGGAAAACUUUGAAGCUUGUGAGGCUUGGCAUUUGCAUUGCAAGACUCCAAGGCUUGUAUUUUGAUUAUGAUAAAAAUAUUUUUGACAAGCUUAUAUUUCAAAUAUCUCUUUGUGCUAGAAUUUUGAGAAAAUAUUUUUAGAGAUAUUUUGAUUACUAUUGUUGGAAAUCUUUGAAACCCUAAUUUGUGAUUGAGAUAUACUUUGGUUUAUAGUUUCAAAGAUUAGCUUAUUGAAACACUCUAGUGCUUGCUUGAGAAUAAUCAUUAGACUGAGUGUUGAUUGCACACAUUUACAUCACUGAGCUUAUAAUUCCUAUAUCAUUGAUGUGCAUUGAUUGAUUGUAAUUGGUACAUAUCUACUUGAUUGAGAAGCACAAUCACUGUACCCGGUUUGGUUUGUACAAAAAGUUUAUUGGUUGUAAUUUCAAGCAUGGCCUGAGGGGGUUUAAUCUAACCCGGAAGGAUCAGGUUGGGGUUAGCCUUGUGAAUUUGACCUAGGGCCUUUUCCGCCCCGCAAGGAGAAUUUGUAAAGGUUGAGGUCAGUCCUGUGUUAAUUUGACCUGCUUGUAACUAGUGUCGCUCCACUCGUUAAGUGAGCAUUAGUGGAAUCCUCGAGCUUGCGAACUAGAGGCGGGGACAUAGGCAUAGUUGGCUGAACCCAUAUAACAUAUCGUGUGUGUAUUUUAUUUUUUCGUAAUUUAUUUACCGCAUAUGUAUGUUAUAUUGUGAAUGUCGCGCAUGAUCCAAUUUCCGCAUAUCAUUAUCUGCGCAAUUGGUGUAUGAUUAGAAAGACCCUAAGUUGUGUUAUACGGCUACCUCGUUUAAUCUAGGAGAUAAAUUUUAAAAUUCCAAUUCACCACUCCUCUUGGGAAUACACCAAAACUAACAUAAUGAGUUUUUUACAGUUAAAAAACAUAGUCCCUUACCUUAGAACCAAAGAGGUUUGUAAAUAUAAGAAUAUCAUGCAAUUGAUAGUUCCUUCAUAUGGGGGAGUAUAUGGGAGUUAAAAAGCUACCCUUAAAUCAUGAGAGUGGCCACUUCUAUAUGCUUAGAAGGGUGUAUCUAGUGAUGGCAAAGGAAAGGAGAUAAAUAAAUGGGAUGGACCUCUUGGAUAAAGAUAGUGAAGACCUUAAUAAGUUUGAUUGUGAUGGGGGCUUGCUUUUGGAUGAGACUUGACAAUAAUAUGAAUAUGUUUCUAACUUUUUUGAUGCACUUGGGAGAUUUACAUAUGCACAUCCAUCCUGUUGGAAGGAUUGAAUGAGGUUUCUAUUUUUUAAGAUUAGUGAAGACCUUAAUAAGUUUGAUUGUGAUGGGGGGUUGCUUUUGGAUGAGACUUGGCAAUAAUAUGAAUAUGUUUCUAACUUUUUUGAUGCACUUGGGAGAUUUACAUAUGCACAUCCAUCCCGUUGGAAGGAUUGAAUGAGGUUUCUAUUUUUUAAGAUGGUGGUACGGUUAAUAAACAACAAUUCAAGGAUGAAAUUCUGCCUCCACUUAUGGAGGAGAUUACUAGAAGCAUUUAGAAGCUCAAGAUUAAUGGAUUAGAUAGAACUAAAGUUACCUAAUCCAAGAGGAUGAAGUGCAUCUGGAUGGUGGCAAGAAUAAAGUGAAGAAGGAUCCUAAGGAAUUAGCAAAUUUAAAGUGCAUGAUGAAUAACGGAAAGGGAUUGAAGAGGGAUUUUCUUUGUUAAUAUUGUUUAGCUUUUAUUUCAUUGUUUUGGUUCUGUUUUUUUUUUUUUUUUUUUUAAUUUUUAAUUUUUAUUCUUUGGCACUUGUUGUAACUUCUGUUCUCUUUAUCUAAUGCAUCUCCUUUUUCUUUUAAAAUAAAAUUUUAGAUUUAGGUAUGGAAAUUAUGAGCGGUUGUGGGGGGAGCACUGUUUUAUUGAAGGUUACCACUUGUUUGGUCUAUAGAAUCAAGGCUAGAAUGAAAUUUUGACCCUCAUUCCUAUUCCAUGUUUGAUUUGCAUAAAUAGUGCUGAUUUCCCAAUUUAAUAGAAUCUUGUCUUGUAAGUAUGAACUACAACUCCAUUCCUGGCUCUUUUUUGAAAGACAAUUAUAACCUCCAAUAAACACUAGAUUCCAAGUUGAUAGUCUCUCAAAUUGUCACUACAAUAAUAAAAAUAAUUAUUAUUAUAAAAAUUAUUAAAAAAUAAUAGCAACAAGUAUAAUUAUAAUUACAAUAAUAACAAUAAACAAAUUAUUUAUUGUAAAACAAUCCCACAUCGGUUGGGAGUUCCUAGGAGCUCUGCCUCAUAAGUUGGUGGUCUCCCAAAUCACUUGAAGCGUUUUAAAACUAUGAGGGUCCUGAAGGCCCAAAGCGGACAAUAUCAAGUUGGGGUGGGGGGGGUGGACCGGUGCGCUGUGGGUGCAUCCCUCGGGCUUGACCUUUGUGGGCAAGGCGUACAGUCUGCUCCCUUCUUGGUGGCCCAUGCAGGUCAGUGGCCGCAUGUGGGAUUAAGGGGGAGUGUUGUAAAACAAUCCCACGUCGGUUGGGAUUUCAUAGGGGGCUCUGCCUCAUAAGUUGGUCAUCUCUCAAACCACUUGACACGUUUUAAAACCGUGAGGGUCCUGAAGCCCCAAAGCGGACAAUAUCAGGUGGGGGAUGGAUCGGUGUGCUGUGGGUGCAUCCUUCGGGCCUGGCCUUUGUGGGCAAGGCGCACAACCUACUCCCUUCUAUUGCCCUAUAAAAAGGCCCCCUACCCCUCACAUUUGGAAAAUAUAUCUUUGCAUGCUUGUAUAAACAUUGAAUGAUUGAAUACUCACUUGCGUGCUUAAAGUAAGUAGGGUAUAUCAUGGUUUUAAAUAAAGGCCGCGACCAUUACGUCACGCUGUUACAUAAAGGUUUUUUGGGUUACGGAUACCAUUACACACUGCGAAAUCGGUGGGAAGAAAAAUCACGGCCGUAGCGGCCAUUACGGACCGCGACCGUUACUUAAAGGCCACUGCGGCCGCUACGUAACCGCUACAGGACUGUUACACCCAAAAAAAAUUUUAUUUUUUACUUUUUCUUCUCACUUUUUCUCUCUCUUUCAUAUAUCAUUCUCAAUAUACCAAGUGGCAAGAUGGGGAAAAGAUUAUAAUGAGGAUGACAAUGAUACAAAAUUUACUUUUUCUUUAAAUACUCACAAUAGAUGCAUUAAUUAACAAUUUCAAAAUACUAACUUGUUAGGAAUUUUUUUUUUAAUAAUAUUAGUAAUGUGAUAUUUAUGUUCUUUAUUUUUCAACUUCAACCUUCUUUCUUUUCUAGCUAUUUUAUAUUUAUAUUAUUCGUAUGUCUUAUGUGUCUAAUAGAUUAAUGGAGUGUAUAAUGUAUUUUAUUUUAUUAAUUCAUUUAGCACACAUAAGAAUUUAUCACAGAUAAAAACAAUGAGAAGUAUAAAUAUGCGCACACACGUAAUUUUCUAUCAAUGAUGGUUUAAAACAAAUGUAAACUUGUUGCCCUUACCAAAUAACUUAGUUACUCGAACUAAAGGGCCCAAAAUACACUAAAACACUUUCUAAGAAUGGCCAAAAGCUUAAAACAUGCAAGUACGCUAAUAUGCACAAGGCUGUGCGUGCUUCAAAAAAAUUCAUAGCUGUUACACCCGCUUCUCGUUAUGUAACAUCCGCUACUCCUGCUUCCCGUUACACCUAUUACCGUUACGUUACGCUACCCGCUACUGUGAUUUAAAACCAUGGGGUAUAUAGAAAGAAGAUGAGAGAUAAAGAGAAAAUAGAGAUAUCUUGUAUAAGGUCGGUUCCAUAUCAUAUUGUAAUUCCUCCUGUGAUAGUGAAGUUUUGAUCUCAUCCGUUCGUGGAGUAAGCAUAGCCGAACCACGUAAAUUUCUAUCUCGUCUCUAUUUAUUUAUUUUUCUACAUCUUUUAUAACAAUAUUAUUAUAAUAACAAAAAUAAUAAAACAACAAUAACAACGACAACAACAAUAAUAAAUUAUUUUCAUUAUUGAAAGAUAAAAAUAAAAUCCCAACAAUAAUGUUAGAUUACCACUUUACCUAAAAACUUAAGUUGUUAGGUUGUGUACCAACAAUAUGCAUCAAGCUUUAACAAAAAAAAAAAAAAAAAUCAUUCAUUAUUAUUUUUUCUAAUAAUUGUAGUAAUCGGGAAAAAAAUAAAAUUUAAAAAGAAUAAUGAUAAAUAAAUAAUAAUAAAAUAAAAUAAAUUAAUUAAAUUAACAAGUAAAAUGAAUAGUAUGAUAAGGAAAAAUAUAUAUGUAUAUAUAUAUAUAUAUGUAUAUAUAUAAGUAAGUUAUUAUGAUAUACAUUUAAUAUAUAUAUAAGUUAAAGGUAUAUAUAUAUAUAUAAAGUGUACAAGCUUCUUCAAGAAGCUUUGCUUUAAUUAGCAAGUUAAUAUGAUAUUAUUAUAUAUAUAUAUAUAUAUAAAAUUGUGCAAGCUUCUCCAGGAAGCUUGCUUUGAUUUUGGUGUGUUCUCUCUCUCUCUCCUACAACUCUCUCUCUCUCUCUCUCUCUCUCUCUCUCUCUCUCUCUCUCUCUCUCCGAUUCCGGACCAAUUUUACGCCGGAUCGACAAACUGAAGUCACCACGACGCUCCUGGUGAAGUUCUCUGCAAAUCUACCGGAGCGGAUCGUCAGGGAAACGAAGUUGGAUUUCAUCCCAAAUCCAGGGGGUGUUGAUUGGGAAGUUGGAAAUCAUCCCUAAAUUGAGGGUGUUGAGUUGAGAACCCUGUGGGUACGGGGAAGAUUUUCUUAGGGACUUUUCAGGAAUCAGGAGCCCCUGAUAGGAGAGCGGGAAAAGCCCCCCUGAUUUAGAGUGGUUUAUCUGCCCUUUUUGAAGGGUAAGUUUUUGGUAGGAAUAGUAUGGUUUUGUGGGAAUUGUCCCUGGAUUUCAUUUUUUGGGAUGAUAUAUGGAAGUACAGUGAUUGUAAUAACUCUGGUACAUUGUUAUGUAUGAUAUGAUGAUAUGACUAUGAUUGUACAUUUUCUGC